AACGAACGCUGGCGGCAUGCCUAACACAUGCAAGUCGAACGAGACCUUCGGGUCUAGUGGCGCACGGGUGCGUAACGCGUGGGAACCUGCCCUUAGGUUCGGAAUAACUCCCCGAAAGGGGUGCUAAUACCGGAUAAUGUCUUCGGACCAAAGAUUUAUCGCCUUUGGAUGGGCCCGCGUUGGAUUAGCUAGUUGGUAGGGUAAAAGCCUACCAAGGCGACGAUCCAUAGCUGGUCUGAGAGGAUGAUCAGCCACACUGGGACUGAGACACGGCCCAGACUCCUACGGGAGGCAGCAGUGGGGAAUAUUGGACAAUGGGCGAAAGCCUGAUCCAGCAAUGCCGCGUGAGUGAUGAAGGCCUUAGGGUGGUAAAGCUCUUUUACCCGGGAUGAUAAGGACAGGACCGGGAGAAUAAGCUCCGGCGAACUCCGU
rnacentral:rRNA from 1 species